rnacentral:rRNA from 1 species
UACAGAGGGGGCAAGCGUUGUUCGGAAUUACUGGGCGUAAAGGGCGCGUAGGCGGCCUGUUAAGUCGAACGUGAAAUCCCCGGGCUCAACCCGGGAACUGCGUCCGAUACUGGCAGGCUUGAAUCCGGGAGAGGGAUGUGGAAUUCCAGGUGUAGCGGUGAAAUGCGUAGAUAUCGGGAGGAACACCAAUUGCGAAGGCAGCUCGCUGGGACGUCACUGACGCUGAGACGCGAAAGCGUGGGGAGCAAACAGG